CCUCCAUCAAGGGAAUCUAAUAGUUGGCCAAUAUACAGUUUAUUUUGUCCAAUUGUUUAUGUUUGCCCCUCUAAUGGUCACUUCUGAAAGCUGAAAAGUUAGGAAGUUUCUACAAGGCCUUCGUGCUGACAUCUAUGAUUGGGUUGCGAUGCUAAGACCUAACUCACAUACGGAGGUGCUAGAACAUGCCCAGUUAGCG
rnacentral:lncRNA from 1 species